GUGGGGAAUUUUGGACAAUGGGCGAAAGCCUGAUCCAGCAAUGCCGCGUGUGUGAAGAAGGCCUUCGGGUUGUAAAGCACUUUUGUCCGGAAAGAAAUCUGUCUGGCUAAUACCCGGACGGGAUGACGGUACCGGAAGAAUAAGCACCGGCUAACUACGUGCCAGCAGCCGCGGUAAUACGUAGGGUGCGAGCGUUAAUCGGAAUUACUGGGCGUAAAGCGUGCGCAGGCGGUUUUGUAAGACCGAUGUGAAAUCCCCGGGCUUAACCUGGGAACUGCAUUGGUGACUGCAAGGCUAGAGUGCGUCAGAGUGGGGUGGAAUUCCGCGUGUAGCAGUGAAAUGCGUAGAGAUGCGGAGGAACACCGAUGGCGAAGGCAGCCCCCUGGGAUGACACUGACGCUCAUGCACGAAAGCGUGGGGAGCAAACAGGAUUAGAUACCCCAGUAGUCC
rnacentral:rRNA from 1 species